AUGAACGCUGGCGGCGUGCCUCAUACAUGCCAGUCGAGCGAACGGACGAGAAGCUUGCUUCUCUGAUGUUAGCGGCGGACGGGUGAGUAACACGUGGAUAACCUACCUAUAAGACUGGGAUAACUUCGGGAAACCGUAGCUAAUACCGGAUAAUAUUUUAAACCGCAUGGUUCAAAAGUGAAAGACGGUCUUGCUGUCACUUAUAGAUGGAUCCGCGCUGCAUUAGCUAGUUGGUAAGGUAACGGCUUACCAAGGCAACGAUGCAUAGCCGACCUGAGAGGGUGAUCGGCCACACUGGAACUGAGACACGGUCCAGACUCCUACGGGAGGCAGCAGUAGGGAAUCUUCCGCAAUGGGCGAAAGCCUGACGGAGCAACGCCGCGUGAGUGAUGAAGGUCUUCGGAUCGUAAAACUCUGUUAUUAGGGAAGAACAUAUGUGUAAGUAACUGUGCACAUCUUGACGGUACCUAAUCAGAAAGCCACGGCUAACUACGUG
rnacentral:rRNA from 1 species